GUCAGGAGAAAGUCACCAAAACAGAGGAGUUGAGACAGAAGACAGGUCAGGGAAAGUCACCAAAACAGAGGAGUUGAGACAGAAGACAGGUCAGGAGAAAGCAACCAAUACAGAGAAGUCGAGGCAGAAGACAGCUCAGGAGAAAGUCACCAAAACAGAGGAGUUGAGACAGAAGACAGGUCAGGAGAAAGUCACCAAAAUAAAGAUAAUGCAGGACAAAGCCAAGAAGAUCAAAGAGGGGGAUUUCUGGUGGAAAGUGCUCUAAAAGUUUCAGACUUUCACCAAGCAAAGAGAUAUCAGGUCACUUCAGAAGAACUACGGAGGAGAUGCUCUCCACCAGAGAGCUACUCUGUGAACACUGUGGUUGCUUAUCUGCGGAAGGCCAAAGGACAAAAAAAAAAA